rnacentral:rRNA from 1 species
CCUACGGGUGGCUGCAGUGAGGAAUAUUGGUCAAUGGGCGGGAGCCUGAACCAGCCAAGUCGCGUGAGGGAUGACGGCCCUAUGGGUUGUAAACCUCUUUUGCCGGGGAGCAAAGUGCCGCACGUGUGCGGUUUGGAGAGUACCCUGCGAAAAAGCAUCGGCUAACUCCGUGCCAGCAGCCGCGGUAAUACGGAGGAUGCGAGCGUUAUCCGGAUUUAUUGGGUUUAACGGGAGCGUAGGCCGAAUGUCAAGCCUGCUGUGAAAUGUCCGGGCUCAACCCGGGCCUUGCAGCGCGAACUGGCGGGCUUGAGUCCGCGGAAAGCAGGCGGAAUUCGUCGUGUAGCGGUGAAAUGCUUAGAUAUGACGAAGAACCCCGAUUGCGAAGGCAGCUUGCUGCAGCGGAACUGACGCUGAUGCUCGAAAGCGCGGGUAUCGAACAGGAUUAGAUACCCUAGUAGUC